GAUACGCCACAACGGCUUCCUGACGUGGCAGAUUUUUCAAAUCGGAGCG
rfam:Rhodobacteraceae bacterium SB2 pfor_17, whole genome shotgun sequence.